rnacentral:rRNA from 1 species
GACGAACGCUGGCGGCGUGCUUAACACAUGCAAGUCGAACGGAAAGGCCUCUUUCGGGGGGUACUCGAGUGGCGAACGGGUGAGUAACACGUGAGUAACCUGCCCUUGACUUUGGGAUAACUUCAGGAAACUGGGGCUAAUACCGGAUAGGAGCUCCUGCUUCAUGGUGGGGGUUGGAAAGUUUCGGCGGUUGGGGAUGGACUCGCGGCUUAUCUGCUUGUUGGUGGGGUAGUGGCUUACCAAGGCUUUGACGGGUAGCCGGCCUGAGAGGGUGACCGGCCACAGUGGGACUGAGAUACGGCCCAGACUCCUACGGGAGGCAGCAGUGGGGAAGAUUGCACAAUGGGUGGAAGCCUGAUGCAGCAACGCCGUGUGCGGGAUGACGGCCUUCGGGUUGUAAACCGCUUUCGCUCAUGACGAAGCUUUGUGUGACGGUAGUGGGUAAAGAAGCACCGGCUAACUACGUG